rnacentral:rRNA from 1 species
GAUUAGCUAGUUGGUGGGGUAAAGGCCUACCAAGGCGACGAUCUGUAGCUGGUCUGAGAGGACGACCAGCCACACUGGGACUGAGACACGGCCCAGACUCCUACGGGAGGCAGCAGUGGGGAAUUUUGGACAAUGGGGGCAACCCUGAUCCAGCAAUGCCGCGUGUGUGAAGAAGGCCUUCGGGUUGUAAAGCACUUUUGUCCGGAAAGAAAACUUUUUGGUUAAUACCCGGGGGGGAUGACGGUACCGGAAGAAUAAGCACCGGCUAACUACGUGCCAGCAGCCGCGGUAAUACGUAGGGUGCAAGCGUUAAUCGGAAUUACUGGGCGUAAAGCGUGCGCAGGCGGUUCGCUAAGACAGAUGUGAAAUCCCCGGGCUUAACCUGGGAACUGCAUUUGUGACUGGC